rnacentral:misc_RNA from 1 species
GAAAUGCGAUAAGUAAUGUGAAUUGCAGAAUUCAGUGAAUCAUCGAAUCUUUGAACGCAGCUUGCGCUCCUUGGUAUUCCUUGGAGCAUGCCUGUUUGAGUAUCAUGAAAUCUUCAAAGUAAAUCUUUUGUUAACUCAAUUGGUUUCUACUUUGGUAUUGGAGGUCUUUGCAGCUUCACCCCUGCUCCUCUUUGUUCAUUAGCUGGAUCUCAGUGUUAUGCUUGGUUCCACUCGGCGUGAUAAGUUAUCUAUCGCUGAGGACACUGUAAAAGGUGGCCAAGGUAAAUGCAGAUGAACCGCUUCUAAUAGUCCAUUGACUUGGACAAUACUUUUAUGAUCUGAUCUCAAAUCAGGUAGGACUACCCGCUGAACUUAAGC